UGAUGCAACGUGUUUGUUAUGUCAUGAGGCAUAUAAAUAUCGGAAGCGGUCGUCAGAGUUGGUCUUUAUGCUUCGUGUGUCGAGGCAGGUUGACCAGUGGUCUGUUAAUGAUCUAUCAUGGAAUUACGAGCAGCUUUUGUCAACGCUUCAGUAUCCACUCAUGGGAUACGUUCCAACUUCAUAAUGCAGCCACUGAGGGUGAGAAUUUGUUUACAUAAUACAUUUUUAGUUUUCUACUGAACUUGUCAGAAUCUUGCCUUUGUGAGGAAUAUGACAUUAAAGUAGCUUGUUUCUAAUGUUAAUGAAAUUGUUAAUUAUAUUUUUGACACCUCAGUAAAAUUUUUGGUGGCGCUAAAAUCAUUAAUACAGAAGGCAUUUAGUGAAGUGUCAUUCUGUGCUGGAACAAAAAAUGAAAAUUUUACACUGGAAAAUGUGAUCACAAAGAAUGAAGACACCAAUAAUUUAAGUGUGACUAUUAUGUAUGAAUGAAUGAAUAUUUGUUGACUGUAAAGGGUGUCAAAAUACUGUCCAAUAGAAGAAAGUUUCUCUAUAGUCUGAUUAAAACUUGUCAUUUGGCAUUGCCAUAUUGAUUUUGUAAAUCUUACCUUGGUAAAGGUGCAAGCAACAUAAAAUAAGCUCUCGACACAUACAGAACUUGUUUAUGCUUGCUGCAACUUGAGCCUGUUAAAUAAGAUGGGCAACAGACAGAUUGCACAAGUACAUCACACUACUUGAAGUGCAGCUGAGCUGAUGAUUUUGACACAUUGAUACUUAUGUUUUUGACAGUUUGGCACCUGCCACUUUGAUGUUGAAAGCUCUAGUUGGAGGACCAAAGUUCAAAAUGUCAAGUGUUGACUAAAAAGAAAUUAUAAUCAGGCUGUAGACAUAUGACCUUUCUAUUGACUUUUCAAAUGUGAAAUUAAUAGGAUUAAGCUAUAGGACCAGAAAGUGAAUGUGUUCAAUCGAGAAUGAAAAAAAAAUGUAAAUGUUGUGUAUAGAAUUUGGAUGGAGAAAGUAUGUUUUUGUCUGGUCACAAGAAGUAAAAAGCCAUUUAUAAACUUCAGAACAUGGCAGCUGUAACUUUUAUCGUGUUUUCAUUGUGGCAGAGCUGUUGAUGAAUCCAGAAAAAAAAUCUGAAUAUUUAAUGUAGUUUGUAUGCUGGUUGUUGAAGAUUAACAGCUAAAACUUCAUACUGUACUAAAAGGAAAAUAGUAAUACCUGAAUAUUUGCUAGAUAAAAAGCGAACAUUAUAUGAUCAGAGAAUAGUAGUAGUAGUAGUAGUAGGAAUAAUGUUAGUCUUGCAGCUUAAAGAAGCAAAUCAAGAAAUUUGGUCUACAUUAGUCCAAUAUUAAUCUUUAUCAGUGGUUUAAUUUAUUGUACCUGACUUUUUUCUGCUGUAGACCUAGAAGGUUCAGUUGAUAACUGUAUUUCAGUGAGUUUGUUAGUUUACCAGUUAUUAUAUGAUCUUAAAAAAGGUGAUCGUAGUGAAAUAAUUAAAUUUUUUGAAGAUUUGAGAUGUAUAAACCAUCCGAAUAUUAAAUGGCUUAUUUUCAUGAAAGUAAGCAGUUAAUGCUACCUUCUGUACAGUGUUUGAGAAGUGGUGGCCAGGGAUAUAACAGGAAUGAUAAUUCAAAACAAAAAGCCAGGUUCUAAAAUGCAUACCUUGAGAGGAUCAAUUCUUUAUCUUAGAUACUGUGAAACAAGCCUCUUGUACUGGAGGCACUUUUUCAUAUUUUGGAAAGAGGCAGUAUGGACCAAAACGAGAAAAAUGUCCAGUAAACCUGUGCUCUAAAAUGAAGUUCUAACCACUUCUUAAUUAGAAGAGUUGUUUCAAAGUAGGAAGAUGAACAAGAGCACAUGUUUCCAGAAUGAGAUUUUCACACUGCAGCGGAGUGUGCUGAUAUGAAACUUCCUGGCAGAUUAAAACUGCGCGCCAGACCGAGACUCAAACUCGGGACCUUUGCCUUUUGCAGGAAAGUGCUCUACCAACUGAGCUACCCAAGCAAGACUCGCGACCUGCCUUCAGUGUCAAUCCUGCCAGUACCUCACCUCCUACCACCUUACAAACUUCACAGCUUGGUCUGGCUCAGUUUUAAUCUGCCGGGGAAGAUUUUUUAGAGAAUGUGUUUUUGUUUUGAAUGAUCAUUCCUGUCAUAUCCCUGAAUAUUGACCAUCAUUUCUGAAACACCCUGUAAAAUUCCCAGGUGACACUUGUCAUAGCAUGGGGACCAGUUCUUUUUGGACAUCAGUCUAGAAAUUGACAUGCAUUGGUCAGCUAGUGUAUUUUUCAGUAUUCUCAUAAAGCAGUUUUCCUAUGAACUGCUACUUACACUUGGUACCAGUUUAAAUCAUUUUGAAGAGUUGCUCACUUCCUGACUUGAAUAUCAUAGCAAGAGUAAAUAAACACAUUCCACAUCCCUGAAUGUUUUGAUUCAUAAUGGCAUCCUGUCUUCCUGCCAUAAUGUAUGUGUGAAACCCUGGUCUGAUGUAAGAGGGUGCCUGAUAGCCCUAAUCAGAUUAAACAUCAAAUUGUGUAGUUAAUAUCUUGAUUUUUGUUUAGGGUGUUCAGGGAGCAAAACAAUGUGCCAGUUUCACAGCCAACAACCAUAUGCCUAUUCACAUUUUAUCAACACACAAUGCUAUUCAUACACAGCAAGAAACUGAUGGUAAAUAAUAAUUCUUUUUUGAAAAAGAAAAAGGUAAAAGGGGAAGAAAACGGACUAAUGUGCUUAAUGCCAGCCUCAAUGACAUGUAGUGAAUUUUCAGUUUGUAAGAACUAUGAAAGACAUGAGAACUAAUAGUUCUGGAAAAGUUGCUAGCUAAAACAAACAUGCACAGUACAUUGUUCACGUCGCUGGAUCAUCUGGACACAGCAAACGUGAUUUAUCAUGCUUAGGAAUGUAUAAUUUAUAGACUCUUCACUAAAAAAUCAAAUUUGGCAUUCUGCUGUUGUUUGAUCAGUUCUAUGUUGUGCAUUUAGAUUUUAAGUGAACCUUGUUUCAAAACUACAUUGUAAUACUGUGUAUAAUAGCAGUCUAAGCUCUGGGUGGAAGGGGGAAAUCUCUGUAUACAGCUUGGGUUGUCUACUGGAUAAGGAGUUUUUGAACAAAAAGUUGGAAGUAUAUAUUGGCACAGGAUAUUCUAAAAAAGCCUAUAUGGGCCCAACUUGGAUAGCUUUGGAUGUACACCUUGGAAGUAGUACUGUGGAGAAACCUUUCACAUAUGUGAUGUGGAGAUGUGUUAAGAAUCUUCUACAUUAGUGUAAGGUUCAAAUCUAUUAAAGAAAACAAAUGAGUAAAAUGUUUAAGUGUGUGUGUGUGUGUGUGUGUGUGUGUGUGUGUGUGUGUGUGUGUGUGUGUGUGCCUUUACUCCCAGGUGCAAUUUUGUGGUAGACUAAUAGAACUGUGGGCUGGGGAACAUCGUUUAGAAACACAAACCUGACAACAAUGAAGGCCUACAUCCAGUAAUCUCAAAAGUAUCGCUAUUCUGGGAUAAAUGUCUACCGGCGACACAUUGACUGGCACUUCUGUUUGAUUAUAUUAUUUGCACACGGUCACUUUUGAAAUGUGUGUGACUAAACAUGUCAUCUAAAUAAGUGUUUGUGUAAUUUGUGAUAUUAUGGUGUAGUAUGCUUUCUGUAACUGCCCUAUUCUAAACACCUUAUUUAUUUCAGCAUCAAUUAAAGAAAAUGUGUGGAAUAUGUACAUGCCCAAUUAGUAAUAUCAGAGGUCUGUGUAGCAGAAUCAUUUGACUGUCUUCAUCUGCUGUAAAAGUUUUAAAAUAUAGUUCCUUAUUUCAUCAUUCAAAGUAUCACUAAAUGGCUGCCUAACAGUGUCUAGGUAUCUUGGGAAGACAUUGGGCUUGUUUGAUGAGUUAGGUUCAAAUCUGCAUACAGUAAUUUAUUUUCUAUGGUUUUUCUAAGGUAAAUGAUGUGAUAGUUAAUUUUAAUAGGACACAGCAACUUUCUUUGAUCUUUGUUUAGUCAUAUCAUCUUCUUUGACAUUGUCAGAAUGUUAAAUCCCAGUACUAGGAUGAAAAAUACUAAGAUUUCAUGUUUCACUUUGAGACUUUCUGGCACAUUAAAACUGUGUACUGGACUGGGACCUGCUGUUUUUUCUAUUCGUCAUUAAAUUAAUAUUAAUUGUUGGCCAUUACCCUUCUCAGUGCAUUUCUGCACUUGUUUUACAUGCUUGCAUUGCAAGCUACUGAUGUGCACUACUAUGAACUGGAAUGUGGCUAUACAUAGUGAAAAGUCCCAUUACAGCUGAGACCUAGUUGGCUUUGUUGAAUAAUAUAGUCAGUGAAAUGAGUAGUAAUGAUAGGGGUUUCAUAAUUCUGCUGGAAUAUAUGAACAUGCCAUUGUUCAAACGAAUGGCUAGUGGUUCUUAUGCAGUCUGUGGCUAGAGUGGCCAGCAUUUGCCCCAGUGAACCCAGGUUUCAUGCAUGUUCUAUUUGAAGUGUCUUGCAGGGCCCACUUAGUCUGAAAUGGACAAUUUAGAAAGGGCCUGAAAAAGCAUAACAUAUUUAAAGAAUGUCACAAUGCAGUACUACUGCUGCAAUGGAGGUAAAAAAGUUAAAUAAAAUUAGUGUUGUUAUGGUGUGACAUCAGAUUUUUGUAUGCUUAACUUUUUGCUUUCAUGUUGGUUACUUAAUGAAUUUUAAUCCUACAAUGUAGGCUUUCACAGCCAGGGUUUACUUCAGUUAACUCUUGGGCUGAGGUGCUAUGGUAAAUAUGUAAAGCUAUUCCCAAUAUUUCAUCUCCGGCUCUAAGAAACAUCUCUGGUAAAAUGGCACAUUUAGCUGGAGGUGAAAUGUCACAAUAGUUUAUAGACCAUGGCCUCUCAGCUUAAAAGUUUUAACUGUAGUAAAUGAAUUUUGGUUAACUUUCUCAUUACUGAGAUAGUCAUCCUAGAUUGCUUUAAGGUGGCACCAGCAUAGUAAAAUGUGCAUCUGUUUGUGUGAAAGAGGCCAUUGCAAUAAGUCUGAGCAGCAAGUUAAGAAGUUUCAUUUUGUGUUACUGGUCUGAGUUUUCGACAUGAACUUUAAUGAGUAACACGUAAAGGGUCCAUGCCGUUGCAAUGGUUUUAAAAUGCCUAAGAGUGAACAUGUAAAAUUGUCUUCAGGAAAGUGAUAUUACUGGUAAAUUCUGAGUAGUACAUUAUUUAAAUUUAUGCAGAUACUUCAACAACAUUGUUAUAAAAAUUAUUUUGGGUGUUGUUCCUCUGGUGUAAUGUACUAACAAUUUCAAUGAUUUGUAAUUGAAGAGCUGAUUGCAAUGUAUUAUGCUGUGUGUGUGUGUGUGUGUGUGUGUGUGUGUGUGUGUGUGUGUGUUCAGAUAUUUUCUGUGCAGAACUUGUAGUGAGAGAGUUAUCCUUUAUAAGGAAUGUUUAACUGUGUUCCAGUAUUUGUGGUGUUUGUCCAGGAAGUUGACUGGAAAUUUAAUCCUGAAAAUAGAUUUAAGGUAUUUUUCUUGUUACUGUCACAUUAAAGUAAGUUAAUUUUGUGAUGUGACCAGGUAUCCAGUGCAGUAUUUGUGGAGCAUAAUUUUGUAGUAAACAUUCCAUUGGUUCGCAUGCUUCCUAGUUACUAAAAGUUUGGCACAAUGUAUCUGAACAUGUUAAAAUAAACUGAAAUGUUAGGUUCUCUCUAAGUUAGUGGAUUUGGCUCUUUAUUUUAACACCAAGUUGUUGGAGUUGGUGCAUAACUCUUUAAACAUGUGAAAACUUACCCUUGGUCUGUAAAUUUCAGUAUUUAUCUUACAAUUACAAAAAAAUGUGAUGGAAUUUCAUAGUAAAGCAUGACUUUGGCAGAUUUAUGUAAUAUACAAUGUCCUGUAACAUUGAUGCCAGUAUUCAGGUUCCAGUGAGUACAAAUGAACUUAGCUGUCUGUAAAUGAAACACAGCUUAACAUUUCUUAUUUUGUAAAUUCUAGUUUACAAAAAAUGUAUAUUUAAAAAGCUCAUGGUGAAAACUUCAGUACAAGCAAGAUGACAGUGAAUUGAAAUUUAGAGCAUUGUUGAGCCUAUAGAAUUUAUCUGGUUACCUUCCAACUUAUAUUGGAGAUGGUUAUUUGUAUUAAAUUUUGUAAUUUUUCCUAUCAUUGUACAGUUUUAUUUACUGUAAGCGAGAGGCCACAACCUCUUCACAAUUGGUAGAUAUUUUAUGGUGCUGUACUGAACAUAAAAGCCAGCAUUUUUAUAGACAGUAUUGCACAGCUUCAAUGUGUUCAAAGAAAACUGCAAGAGCUGUUAUAAUAUUAGUCAAGCAAAAUUUUCGUCACAAAUUUUGAUUUUUAAUCAGUGACAUGACGGCUGCUUGUCUGAAAAUAGUUCUCUAUUCAUUAGGACAACUUUUAGUGCUUUAACUUAGUUCCUUAAACAUGGAUUGUGUGCACAUCUUCAAACAAUAGUUUUGGUUACUUAUUUUGAUCCAUUGGCUAAGUGUUACGCAAAAAAUAUUGUCAAGAGUAUGAAAGAGCUGUUCAGAGGUUAAAAUAGUGCAUUUUUAACAUUUUACAGUUGAUGAUGCACAGAAUUAUCUACCGAAAUUACUGACUGGCUUAAAUGUUAUGCAUAUUGUAAAGGUUGUGGUCAUAAAUUUUCAACCUAAUUUGUUGGAAACUGAAAUGGUGCCUGCACCCUAUUUGUCUGCCCUUGAUAUUUUUAAUGAAUAUGUACAUUUUUGAAUCAUGUUGUGUGAUUUUUAAAUUGUGUAAUAAACUAAUUGAUCAUU